rnacentral:rRNA from 1 species
UACGUAGGGGGCAAGCGUUGUCCGGAAUCAUUGGGCGUAAAGAGCGUGUAGGCGGCCCGGUAAGUCCGCUGUGAAAGUCCAGGGCUCAACCCUGGGAUGCCGGUGGAUACUGUCGGGCUCGAGUCCGGAAGAGGAGUGUGGAAUUCCUGGUGCAGCGGUGGAAUGCGCAGAUAUCAGGAGGAACACCGAUGGCGAAGGCAGCUCGCUGGGACGGUACUGACGCUGAGGCGCGAAAGCGUGGGGAGCGAACAGG